rnacentral:lncRNA from 10 species
GCUUCACUGAAGGCAACAAGACACAAAUUUCAGGAAGGGCCUAUAUCAGAAAGAAGGAACGGACGCACACCUCCCCAAGGAGCCCUGGCACUAACUACAACACACACAGGGUUUGGCCAGACCUGGACCAGCUUUUGGAAAACACUAACUCAACUGUCAUCCAACUUGCUGCAGUUAACCACCCGUCAGUCACCCAUCAGGGGGCAUGAAGCUCUGGUUUGAUCACUUUGCUAAGGGCUGCACAAGGAAGAAAAAAAGUCAUAAAACACUAUAUUGUCAAGCAGUACUCACUGCUUCUCCUCUUCACUGUCCUCUACCUUGAGUCCCUCAAAAUAUUUCACCUGCAUGACAUUUCUUCACUUGAGAUGCUGUUUGCCCUUUAAAUGGCAUCUUAGCAUUUGAGGUCCUCUAGCUGUCUUCUUUCUUUUCCUUAGGCUGACAAUUCUGCUGAAAGUUUGUGAAAAGACUUGACAUUCACAAAAUCUAAGGUCUUCUGGUGAUACCAAAUGUAACAGGAAUGGAAGCAUCAUCAGCACUGUGCAACAUUAUGUUUCUUUAGCAUGGUUUGGCUCAGGUUACAAAACCUGGGCAGCUGUACCACAGACAGAGGCUAUGGCCAUUUCCCCUCUAUUUUAUGAUCAUCCCUGUUUCAUUACUUUGUGCUUUCACUACAUCCUGGCCUAGCAGUCUGUA